rnacentral:rRNA from 1 species
CCUACGGGCGGCAGCAGUGAGGAAUAUUGGUCAAUGGGCGUACGCCUGAACCAGCCAAGUCGCGUGAGGGAAGACUGCCCUAUGGGUUGUAAACCUCUUUUGUCAGGGAGCAACGCCGGCUACGUGUAGCCUGACUGAGAGUACCUGAAGAAAAAGCAUCGGCUAACUCCGUGCCAACAGUAGCGGUAAUACGGAGGAUGCGAGCGUUAUCCGGAUUUAUUGGGUUUAAAGGGUGCGUAGGAGGAAUUCAAAGUCAGCGGUAAAAUCGCGGGGCUCAACCUCGCCCCGCCGUUGAAACUGGCGUUCUUGAGUGGGCGAGAGGUAUGCGGAAUGCGUGGGGUAGCGGUGAAAUGCAUAGAUAUCACGCAGAACUCCGAUUGCGAAGGCAGCAUACCGGCGCCCAACUGACGCUGAAGCACGAAAGCGUGGGUAUCGAACAGGAUUAGAUACCCUAGUAGUC